rnacentral:misc_RNA from 1 species
GAUGAAGAACGCAGUGAAACGCGAUAUGUAAUGUGAAUUGCAGAAUUCAGUGAAUCAUCGAAUCUUUGAACGCACAUGGCGCCUUCCAGUAUCCUGGGAGGCAUGCCUGUCCGAGCGUCGUUUCAACCCUCGAGCCCCCGUGGCCCGCGUUGGGGAUCUGCCCAGGCAGUCCCCGAAAACCAGUGGCGGACCCGUUACAGGCCCUUCCCUUGCGUAGUAGCAUUCGCCUCGCAUCGGGAGCCGGCGGGCUUCCAGCCUCUAAACCCCCAUCAAGUCCGCCCCGGCGGCACCAAGGUUGACCUCGGAUCAGGUAGGAAUACCCGCUGAACUUAAGCAUAUCAAUAAGCGGAGGA